CCUACGGGAGGCAGCAGUGGGGAAUAUUGCACAAUGGGGGAAACCCUGAUGCAGCAACGCCGCGUGAGUGAAGAAGUAUUUCGGUAUGUAAAGCUCUAUCAGCAGGGAAGAAGAAAGACGGUACCUGACUAAGAAGCCCCGGCUAACUACGUGCCAUCAGCCGCGGUCAUACGUAGGGGGCAAGCGUUAUCCGGAUUUACUGGGUGUAAGGGGGGCGUAGACGGCUGUGCAAGUCUGAAGUGAAAGCCCGUGGCUCAACCGCGGAACUGCUUUGGAGACUGUAUAGCUUGAGUACUGGAGAGGCAGGCGGAAUUCCUGGUGUAGCGGUGAAAUGCGUAGAUAUUAGGAGGAACACCAGUGGCGAAGGCGGCCUGCGGGACAGAAACUGACGUUGAGGCUCGAAAGCGUGGGGAGCAAACAGGAUUAGAUACCCCUGUAGUC
rnacentral:rRNA from 1 species